AAAAAUCUGUUUGAAUCAGGCAAGUAAUUUGUAAUACUUACUAUUCUCUGUUUUGUAGCCAUCAUUAUUGGAAGCUUUAUCUACAUAAAGAAACGGUCAAAACAUGUGUAUUCUGAAAAGGUGGCGACUAAAGCUCAAGAGGGAGAGUUAUAACACAUACAUGGUAAAGACAAUGGGCUAGUUGAAAGCUUUCAUGAAGAAAAUCCAAGUGAAUCCAACUGCAAAUAUUUAUCAUUUAUCCAAGCGCUUGCCAGCAGCCGUCAAGAGCCUGAGUGAUUUCUCACAGCAUAAUCAGACAUU